CCUACGGGAGGCAGCAGUGGGGAAUAUUGCACAAUGGGGGAAACCCUGAUGCAGCAACGCCGCGUGGGUGAAGGAGCGCUUCGGCGUGUAAAGCCCUGUCAGCGGGGAAGAAGAAAGCCGGUACCCGACCAAGAAGCACAGGCUAACUACGUGCCAGCAGCCGCGGUAAUACGUAGGGGGGGCGCGUGAGCCGGAAUUACUGGGGGGAAAGGGAGCGUUAACGGCGAGGGAAGCCUGAAGUGGAAGCCCGCGGCCGAACGGCGGAACUGCUUUGGGAACUGUUUUGCUGGAGUAUGGGAGGAGUAAGCGGAAUGCCUGGUGUAGCGGUGAAAUGCGUAGAUAUCAGGAGGAACACCGGUGGCGAAGGCGGCUUACUGGACCAUAACUGACGUUGAGGCUCGAAAGCGUGGGGAGCGAACAGGAUUAGAUACCCCGGUAGUC
rnacentral:rRNA from 1 species